UACGGAGGGUGCAAGCGUUAAUCGGAAUUACUGGGCGUAAAGCGUGCGUAGGCGGUUCGUUAAGUCUGCUGUGAAAGCCCCGGGCUCAACCUGGGAAUGGCAGUGGAUACUGGCGAGCUAGAGUGUGAUAGAGGAUGGUGGAAUUCCCGGUGUAGCGGUGAAAUGCGUAGAGAUCGGGAGGAACAUCAGUGGCGAAAGCGGACUUCCUGGACCAAUACUGACGCUCAUGUGCGAA
rnacentral:rRNA from 1 species